rnacentral:lncRNA from 1 species
UUUCAACAGCAACACUGGCUCGCCUGAGCCCAGAAACUCGCGACAAAGAGCAGGAGGUUAUGGUGGUUCAAGAGAGCUGAUGAUGAUCAAGGGGUAAGGGUCGGAGAGGAACUUAUGAUCCGAUCCUUGAACUAGAGGAUGUGGGAAAACUAAGGAUCCUCAGACGCAAGCGCUGAAGGGUUCCUAAGUUUACACAUACACCCUCGGGUUGAAGAAAAGAUCACAGCCGAACCCUCGGGCGAGGCGGAUAAGGGUCGGCGGAACAGACAGGGUCGGGCGAGACGGAACCGGGGUCGGGCGGAUAAGAGGGGUCGGGCGAGGCGGACUGGGGUCGGCAACUCACCUUCUUCCUGAAAGGAAAGCUUGGGGUCGGGAAGAAGCAGACUUGGGCGGAGGGACUAAGGCUUUGAACAGAAGCUAAGACCGGCAAUGCUCCGGCGGCGGCGAUGCUUCUUGCAGAUUGCAAGAGAGCUUUUACGCAGCACGGAGGAGCAAGCGGCUGGGCGACUUGGAGAAAACUGAGAGAGAAUCUGAGAGAAGAACUCCUCAAGAACUUGGUGGGUGAUGCUAGGAGCUUGAGCAGGGAGCGAGAGAAUGGCUAAGGCAACAAUGGCGGAGGGAAC